AUUGAACGCUGGCGGCAUGCUUUAUACAUGCAAGUCGAACGGUAACAGGCCUUCGGGUGCUGACGAGUGGCGAACGGGUGAGUAAUGCAUCGGAACGUACCCAGAGGUGGGGGAUAACGCAGCGAAAGCUGUGCUAAUACUGCAUGUGAUCUGAGGAUGAAAGCGGGGGACCGAGCAGCAAUGUUUGGCCUCGCGCCUUUGGAGCGGCCGAUGUCGGAUUAGCUAGUUGGUGGGGUAAAGGCCUACCAAGGCGACGAUCCGUAGCUGGUCUGAGAGGAUGACCAGCCACACUGGGACUGAGACACGGCCCAGACUCCUACGGGAGGCAGCAGUGGGGAAUUUUGGACAAUGGGCGCAAGCCUGAUCCAGCAAUGCCGCGUGCGGGAAGAAGGCCUUCGGGUUGUAAACCGCUUUUGGCAGGAACGAAACGGUGUCCGCUAAUACCGGGCGCUAAUGACGGUACCUGCAGAAUAAGCACCGGCUAACUACGUG
rnacentral:rRNA from 1 species